rnacentral:rRNA from 1 species
UAAGGAAUAUUGGUCAAUGGAGGGAACUCUGAACCAGCCAUGCCGCGUGCAGGAAGACGGCCCUAUGGGUUGUAAACUGCUUUUGUAUGGGAGCAAAUGUAUAUACGAGCUAUAUACUUGAGAGUACUAUACGAAUAAGCAUCGGCUAACUCCGUGCCAGCAGCCGCGGUAAUACGGAGGAUGCAAGCGUUAUCCGGAUUUAUUGGGUUUAAAGGGUGCGUAGGCGGACUAGUAAGUCAGUGGUGAAAUUCCGUUGCUCAACAACGGCGCUGCCAUUGAUACUGCUAGACUAGAGUACAGUUGAGGCAGGCGGAAUGUGUCAUGUAGCGGUGAAAUGCUUAGAUAUGCCACAGAACACCGAUCGCGAAGGCAGCUUACCAAGCUGUAACUGACGCUGAGGCACGAAAGCGUGGGGAUCAAACA